rnacentral:rRNA from 1 species
AAUAUUGGACAAUGGGCGCAAGCCUGAUCCAGCCAUGCCGCGUGAGUGAUGAAGGCCUUAGGGUUGUAAAGCUCUUUCACCAACGAAGAUAAUGACGGUAGUAGGAGAAGAAGCCCCGGCUAACUUCGUGCCAUGAGCCGCGGUAAUACGAAGGGGGCUAGCGUUGUUCGGAUUUACUGGGCGUAAAGCGCACGUAGGCGGAUUGGUCAGUUAGGGGUGAAAUCCCGGAGCUCAACUCCGGAACUGCCUUUAAUACUGCCAAUCUAGAGACCGAGAGAGGUGAGUGGAACUCCUAGUGUAGAGGUGGAAUUCGUAGAUAUUAGGAAGAACACCAGUGGCGAAGGCGGCUCACUGGCUCGGAACUGACGCUGAGGUGCGAAAGCGUGGGGAGCAAACG